CAGACGGGGCUAAUUGAUGUAAGGUGCUUUCUCUUGCAGUAUGGUUAAACCAGAGUUGCAAAGCAGAGUAUUACAACAAGAAGACAGUUCGGCAUCUGUUUUACAGGACAGCACAGGCUGAAUGGGAUGAAUAUGAUGUGGACGAGUCCCCUGAUCAAGAAGGUACAAGUACCUAUGGAACCAGACGCCGUAGUCGACUCUCAGUUGAUACCUCCUGACCCCCUCAAUCCACUUCAGUCCACUGAAUCAGGUUUCUGAAGAAAAAACAAGAAACUGAAACCCAGCUCAGCCAUAUCUGUGGCUUUUAGGGUUCUCUCUGGACUUUCCUUCCAGGCCAGAACAAUGGCGGGCCCAGGAGCCCAGCUUCCCCACAGGCCCCAGCGAGAGGAGGCCGGGGGCUGGGUACUGAGGGAGCCGCUCGGCAUGCUGAAAUAUGGAGGCGACAGAUAAGGUGGCAGCGGCACAGAGAGGCCCUCUCCCAUGAGCCCAAGGGGAAAUUUGCAGUUAUUAAGAGGAAGAUGAGAGAGAUUAAAUGGCUUUUGUACUCAUUUUCACAGACUUUUAUUUUUUUAUUAUUUGGGCUGCCUUCAGCUGAGAGAUGAAAGAAGUGGUAAAUGACUUUUUGUGUGCUUCAUUCAGCAACACACUGGCUUUGAGAGACAAUUCUUCAUUACUGAGAAUUGUCACGCAUCAUGAAACACUUAUUAAUAAACUAUUGUUUUAAAAGGUGCAAAAGUAAUAGAAUUACUGUGAUCUAUAACUAAUGACAAAUGUAACAUGGUUUGGGAUUUUGUUUGACGAAAUGAACAAAAUGUUACAUGUAGAUUUAA